GGAGUGUAGUUAAUUGGUAGAUUGCCUGCCUAGCAAGUGGGAGGCCCUGGGUUCCAUCCCCAGCAACACCA
rnacentral:tRNA from 1 species